rnacentral:misc_RNA from 1 species
UUUUAUCAUUAAAUAAACAUAGGUAUAAAGUACCUUGCUCGUUACAGAACAAUACAGUGUUCACUGUAAUUGUGUUCAAGUAGUACACAGUGCAAACUGAGUGAUUCGAAUGAGUCUUUGUGUAUAUUAUGGGUUAAAAAAAUUGCUGGUGCAUCGAGAUCCGAAAGUGCCGAAACGUCUUGAGAGUUCCUUUGUCGCAAGAUGUAAAUAGCUCAUAUUGUUUUCACCUCAACGGCAGAAUCGAAGUCCAAACUAUCAUAUCAACAACCACACUACUAUCUUCCAUCUCGUACAUCUGUUAUCACCCUUAUCUUAUCGAGCGAGUGGCAACUAUAACCAAUAGCAGAUCCUAAAAAUUAUGACGAAAUACUCCAGACUCCAGAAUAAUGGGUUUUGAACUGCUUCUUCUCUGUUGCCUCAUUUUCAUGUUCGUCGUCUCCUUCUGCGGAUUAUUACAAAAGAUCAAACAAUCAUACGAGCACGAAAGAGCAGUUGCAGAUGCGGACCCUCCUCCAAAAUAUGAAGACGUCAUCAAGAGUCAAGUCGAAGUAACCAUCAACAGAGUCCCUUUAAUGGUCAGAGAACCACCAUCAGCCCCUUCCAAUAUGGCCCCGCCUCCUUAUACAAUUACCGUUUGAGAAAUCCAAAGAAAAAUCUUCAUUAGUUAUUUUGAGAUUCAUCACUGCUCAUUUGAAGCAAAAUAUAAUACUGAAAUGUGAAAAAUAUUGAGAGUAUUCGUUUUCAUUUUCGAAAUCAAAGCGUAUAUCUACUCAAUACGAAUCUCAGAAAUAUUUCAUUUUCAAUACUUAGUUUGCUAAAUGGAGAAAGAUUUAUUUCCAACAUUGA